ensembl:lncRNA
AUUCACAUCCCUUUAUGGAUUCAGUUUCUCCCCACCAAGCCUUCUACCUCCUGUCAGCUUCAGCCCCUUGGACUCAACAGAUUCCCCCAUCCUGGAUUUCCCUCUCGUGGGCUCUGUGUAACUCCUGUCUGUUCUUAGAUACUCCCCAGUCUUCAGUCUUCAGUUUUGGUCCCCCCUAGCUUCUGGAUUCCCUGAGCCUGCCUAGCCCUUAGUUCUGUUUUCCCCUGGUUUCUGUUCCUGUUAAUUGUCACCAGCAUGUGGGACUUUCAUGAAGAAUUCCAGGACGAGUUGUCCUCUGAGGCACUCCUAUCCUCUGGCUUCACCAUGCUGGUGGGAUUUUCAUCAGAGCCAUUAAUGUUGGCAUCAGCAGCUUCAAGCACUUCAGAAAGUCCAGCUGCCAAGAGUUCUGUUUCUGUAACCCUGCUGGGUUAUUUUAGUCACAGCGGUGUUUAAGGAAGUUCAUCAGUGUGAUCAGCCACGACUAAAAGGUGAGUGAACUGUCAGAGUGGAAACAAACAGAAGUCUGUUCUGUGUGAAUUCAGAGCUCUGGACAGCUGGCUCAGGUUCAGGAUAGUGUUUUGUUUUUUUUUUGUUUUUUUUUUUUUAUCUUGCUAUCAGUGUAACCAUAAAACACCUUAAAAAGAUCCCGUUUCUCAACCUGUCCAGGUUGUAACCGGCCUCCUGUCAGAUUAGAUAGAUUUCAGCCUCAUGCGACGCUGUAUGAGAUAAAGUAGCUGAUGGUUGGAUAGAUUCACGGAAGAGCUGGUUUCUUCUGGAAUUCACCUUAGGUGUUUUUCCACGAACAGCACUAGUAAAAUGUGCCAGAUGAUGCUGUCCCAUGAGGCUGCUGGAGAGAGCUAAUGAGAGAAUAUUUCUCUGAGCUGAAGUCCUGUGAAUGGUGACAGCAGUUUCUGUUCAUUCCUUCCAAAAUCAGGAUAUCUGAGUGUCUGAGUCCUCUUUUAUAUUUGAUGGUUGAUAAGUUUUACACCUCCUUUAUCUUUUCUGCUUUUCUUAUCUGAAUCAUCACACACAUAAAGUUACAGUGUGUCAUCACAACCAACACACAGAAUCACUGUCAAGCCUUGUGCACAUUUUUGUCCUUUACUUUUAGGUCUUUAGAUCAUUUUGACUGUGCUACUGGGCAUAGAUUAUGGAAAAUGUCAGCCUCUGCUCUCGUAAUAUGCUGUGAACGGCAAAACAUUACACUUGGGGACCUGAAAGACAAGACUAUCCCCAUUGAAACUCAAUAAAACUUCUAUUUUUGUACAUGCAAAAAAAUAAUCUCUUCUCACUUAGUAUAUGGAAAUAUUUUAAUGUUUUUUUUUCAUAUUAAAAAAACCAAUAGUGGCAUUUAAAGGAUUAAAAUUCUAAAAGUGAAUAAAUAUUUGGUAGUUAUGAUCAAUACUGAUGCUGCUUAAAUAAUCAGACUUACUUAAAGUGGGAAUUAAUAUUGAUAUAUAAUGUUUUUAUGGCUGUGUUUAUGAUAUUGAGCUUUUUUUUUUUUUUUUUGUCCUCUCGGGUCCUGAGUGUGAGUUUUAUUAAAAAAUCUGACAAUUCAUAAAAAAUAUUAAUUCAUCAAAGUCUGUGUUGUGCUGGUGACUAUGAAAAUUUUAAAAAAGUGAAUUUUCCACUUAACGCUUCACUAAAAACAACUGUGACAGAAUGUGAACAAACUGGCAUUUCAAGGGUUAAACAGGACUGAUGGUUGCUAAAAAAAAAUUACUCAUUAAAUGUAGAAAAUAAUUUGAAUAUAUGACAUUUUAGGGCAUUUUUUUUAAAUGAAAAAUUAGUAAUUGAAAGUAGAAAAUGAUGGUAUUAUAUAACUAAAAAAGAAAUAAAAAUCAAAAUGUUGUUUAUCAUUGACACAUGCCCAAAUGUGACAAUCGAAUAAAAGUACUUUUCUCUCAGCACGCAUCUAGAAAAUAAAUCUUUUUUUUCAUAAGCAACAACUGCGGCAUCAUGUAAACAAACUGGCAUUUCAAGGGUUAAAUUUUGAAGCUGAAUGAGUCUUUGGUGAUUAGAAUCAGGACGCCUAGCUGUAAAAUAUGUCAGUGAAACACAGUGCGUCCAUUGUCAUGCUUUAAUUAUUCCGUGGAAGUGACAGGAAGUGAACUCUAUCACACCUGAGUCGGAGGAGUCGUCUGUCAUUAAAGCGUCUUCCAGAGAACCCGACAUGAUAACGCCAAAUAUCUGCACAACAAUCACAGCUUGUAUGUCAACUGCUGCCUUCCCCGCUGACUUUCCUAUGAAUUUCUGAACUAUUAUCUGUCUGGCUGCCAGACUGAGAGCUUCUGCAACAUGUAAUGAUUAACUGAUGAAAGUAGAGUCGGUUGUAUGUGAAUGACUGUAGUUAGGAGGUGUGAAAAUGCAGGUCCAGGCAGUUCUGUUCAGUUCAACUCCAAUAAAAACAUGCAACUCAAGUGUUUAAUGCUGCUGAAAUAAGUGCAGCUAUAACUGUGUUGGCAGCUUAAAUAUUCCUAUCCAUGAUCUGGAUUCAAAUAACAGUUUAAAAAAUUCUUCUUUAGUAAGUAUUCAUUUUGCAUAUAUUUACAAAUCAUUUUCUUUAGAGACACUUUAUUCUGCUUGUGAAACACAUUUAUUUUCUGCAGUAUUCAUAUGAGGCAGGAAAGUGAAAGUGAUGCAGAGCGACAUUUCUGAGGUGAUGGAGUCAAAACAAUAAUGCAGGGCUGUGCUUAUAAGGUGUAAAAUUACAGAGAAGACAUUAACUGCAGAUUGUAAAUUUGUAAAACCAUAAAUUUAAAAUCAUUUAUAGACCAUGACAAGUUGUUUGGAUCAGAAAGUAAAAUACUAGAUUGCUCAUUGUUCUGUUGUCAUUUUGUGUCUCAUUUUUAAAAAAUAUUUUGUCUUUUUUUGGUGUUUUUUGUCUUCUUUUGGUCUGACUUUUGUUGCUUGUCAUUUUGUUUCUCACUUUUGUCAUUUUGUGUCUUGUUUCUGUAAUAUUUUUUUCUUGUUUUUGUUGUUUUUUUUGUCUGACUUUUUCCAUUUUGAUCAUAAGGUAAAAUACUGUAUUGUUCAGUUCCAGAUGACUAAAUGUUUUGUGCGUUUGUAGACACUCUGUGAUCUCUAAAUUGUAAUGUGUA